ensembl:lncRNA
GUUUAAUGUGUGUGUGUGUGUGUGUGUGUGUGUGUGUGCAUACGAGUGCUUGUGUUUAUGAUGUCUUCUGCGUACAUGCACAGCUGUGCCUGUGAGUGUGUGUGCAUGCGUGCACAUCCACAUCAGAGAACAGAGGCACCAAAGAAGUUAAAAGGCUGCCCUGCCUGCCAUGCUGGGUUUACGUGAGUGUGAUGGUUUUGUGUGUAUGGAGCCGUUUUACUGAUGGAGACUCCCAGACUGGCCUGGGCCACAGAGUGAACGCUGUCAGUGGCAAUCAAAGCCAGACGCGGCCCAUACAUCAGCCACAUGCCAACACCCUAAUCCACAAGAACCAGCGCACCACAACUGAUCCCCAUGCAGGAGUUUGGCUCCUCGUCCAGUGGGUUAUUGCCUGAUCUUGCUAGCUCUGGCUUUAGGUUCUCUGGUUCCAAAGAGUUUGUGAUCUUAUGAGUAAUAUGACUUGUCUGUGACAUGUUAAAAAAAUCACAGUGUAAGACCCUGACUGUUUGGCCUUCAUUGUCUCCCACUGUUGGGGAAAGCAGGCAGAAAAGUGGUGGGCCGACAGUGGGCCUGACUCCAGUGCGUUUGAUGCAAUAAUGGCCACUUCAUUAUGAAACCCUCCUCCAGUCCCACGCUAACAUUCCCUGUUUAUGGGGAACAUAUGGGCGAGCCUGCAAUUUUUACACCACAAAAUAAGACCCUGCGCAGCUGAGCCGACAACCGCACUCGGCCCUCUCAACCCCACCAGCCACACCCGAAAGGCGGAGGGGACGCGGGCAACCAUUAAAGCCACCACAGUUUUCUCAGCAAAACAGGAGUUAUAUUAAGCUUAAAUAUAGGGGCCUGAUAAACAAGAGAAAAAUACCCCAUGCCACAAAGUUCCUUCGACCAACUGGUCCCAUAACAACAUGGCUAAGAUAGGGCCAUGAAGCAGCUGCUUUUAUCAACAAACCACAAGAUGGGAAAGUCCAAUCCUCAUCACUGUGACUGUACAAAUGUUUGAAUUGCAUAGUUCAUGAAAAAAGAACUACAUUUACAACAGUCAUUGAUUCUAUGGACAAUCAUGCCAUCUCCUUAAGAGAUGUGCACUGGUGGUUCUGUUGAGGGGUUAUUGUUGUGGUCAAGUCAUGUUUCAAACCAGAACCGUGUAACACGUCAUUGAUUUUUAAAUCCUGUUGAGUUUCAGUGUGGUUUAUCUAAAAGAAAGUCCACAGCCAAUUUCUGCACAACCCUACACAUUGUAGGGUAUUGUCCAGUUAAAUAAAGAAUUAUUUUCUCAAAAAAUAGUUGCA